CAAGCACUGUUCUGUAUUUAGGGACCUUGGUUAGCCUCGUGGGAGGGGGCUGCACAGAUUCGAGCCCACCCUGGAAUCCGACCACCGUCCCCCACGGCUGCUCCAAACAACUCCUCACUCUCCUUGACCUGCUCCUUUCUGUUGCCAGCCACGGACACCGACCAUCUUAACUGGAGCAGAGCAAAGGGGAGGAAGGCUCAUUCCUGGCCCCUCAUGGGGGAGGGCGGAUGCUGCAGAGCCGACCCUAGGACAAUGAAGGACCCAGCCCCCACCUGGCAACGUGAAGCAACUGUCAGCAACGAGACGGGCUUAUGUAUUUAUUGAAAGGCAGAGUUACAAAGAAAGAAGAGAACGAGAUCUUCCACCCACUGCCUCACUCCCCGAAUGGCCACAACAGCCGGGGCUGGGCCAGACCAGAGCCAGGAGCCGGGAGCUUCUUCCGGGCCUCCCCAGGGACGGCAGGGUCCAAGCACGCGGGCUUUCCCAGGGGCAUUAGCAGGGAGCUGGGUCUCGGAAGUGGAGCAGCCGGGACACCAACGGUCACCCAUGUGGGCUGCUCUCUGCACCAAGGAGUUUCCAUUUUUAAAGUAACAAGAGAGAAGCAGCACCGCAGACAUCACCUUCAGUGAAACUGGAGACGUCGGAGCCUGCAGGUGCAACUUCAUGUUACACACAACACGGUACAUUGAAUGUGACUUCCCAGAAUAGUCUGUGAGCCACUUGCGGGGAGGAAUCUGUGUAUCCCAGGACCUAGCCCAGCGCUUGUGGGAGUCAAUCUGUCUGUGAAAGUCGGAAGAAGUUGGGGACAUCCCGGCUCCAAUCAAGAUGGUCUUGAAAGCGAAGAACCAGACCACGACUGUAACUUACCCAAUGGGAACCAAAGCAACUGUAUUGUUCUCGUUUUGAACAACCAUGAUGACUGGUAUUUCUGGUUUCUGCCCAGAGUAGUCCCAUACCCACAGGGGUAUUGCAUUUCAAUAACAGCGUUAAUCACCCAGGGCCAGUGCGGCCCCAGCCAAUAACAGUGCACGGUCCAUAGCGAGAUUGCCUUCAGUGCAGACCAACUGUCCACACCCCCGGGGUCCUCAGGUGCAACGUCAGGUCUGGUCAUUCUCUGGAAUGACUCCCAGCUCUCAGGAGGGCACUUCGGUGUGACGACAGCUUUACCGAAGGGUGUGGAUCAGGAGCAGUCAGAUGGAGAGACGCGCGGGGCAGGGUUCUCAGUGUGGAGCUUCUGUGUCCUCCUCCUGUGGCUCACGGCAUGUCCCCAUCCGAGAAUGUUACUCCGUUCUUAACAGGAACCUCUGCCGAAUCUCUGUCCAGAGAUUCUAUAGUUAAGUAGGCAUGCCUGAGGACCUCCUUGGACCCAUGACUGAACUCAGUCUCCAGCCUCCUCUCUUCCCUGGGCCAAAGUCCCGACCCUCUGACCCCCUGCUUGGUCUUGCUGAUGGCAAGUCCUCACUCUGCUAUGGUGUGGACAUGGUUUGCGUGUGUCCCCAAGGGUUCACGUGUUGGAAGCUUGGUCCUCACUGUGGUGAUGUUGGGAGGUGGUGGAGUCUGGGGGGAGUGAUUGAGCGGAUGGGGGACGUUGGGAGGUGGUGGAGUCUGGGGGCAGUGAUUGAGUGGGUGGGGGCACUGCCUUCAGAAGGAAUUCGUGUGUUUCCUGUGGAACCCAGAAUUAAUGUGUUUCUUCUGGAACCCUGUUUGUUCCUGCAAGUGUGGGUUGAUACAAAGAAGCAAGACUGCACUGUCCCUGCUCUGGCCUCCUGUCUGGCCAUGUACUCCCCAGGUGCCAGGAUCCCCUCACCAGAGACCCAGCAAAUGAGGCCUCCACAACUGGGAGUGAAAUAACCUAUUUUCUUUGUAAGUGUCCAGCCUCAGGUAUUUUGUUAUAGCAACAGGAAAUGGACAAAUGCACAGCUAUCAAGGGCUCUCCACAAGUCAGCUCCUUAGCAUGCACCAGGCGUGACCCAGGACACCCACCCAUGCCUAACAAAGAUGUGUCUAUCACUUGGGAAGUCCCAAGGGUUUUUAGAAGCUCCAUGCCAGGAACCCAGUGAGGCUAUGGGAAGCCAACACCAGUAAACAUCCCGGGCACACAACCUGCCUCUGCUCCGGUUCCAUUACCAGCACCCCGUGACAAUCUGGCUUUUCCUGUGGCUUGUUUGUGUAAAGAGAUCUCUACCUAGAUCCGUGUUGUGUUUUUUUUUUUUUUCUUUUCUUUUCUUUUCUUUUUUUUUUUUUUUUUUAGAUUUAUUUAUUUACUUGAAAGUCAGCCGGCGCCGCUGUAGCUCACUAGGCUAAUCCUCCGCCUGUGGCGCCGGCACACCGGGUUCUAGUCCCAGUUGGGGCGCCGGAUUCUGUCCUGGUUGCCCCUCUUCCUGGCCAGCUCUCUGCUGUGGCCUGGGAGUGCAGUGGAGGAUGGCCCAAGUGCAUGGGAGACCAGGAGAAGCACCUGGCUCUUGGCUUCAGAUCAGCACAGUGCGCUGGCUGUGGCAGCCAUUGGAGGGUGAACCAACGGAAAAGGAAGACCUUUCUCUCUGUCUCUCUCUCUCUGUCCACUCUGCCUGUCAAAGAAAAAGAAAGUCAGAGUUUUACAGAGAGAGAAGGAGAGGCAGAGAGAGAGAGAGAGAGAUCUUCCUUCUGCUAGAUUGAAAGUGGAGCAGCCGGGACUAGAACCGGUGCCCAAAUGCACUGGAGCGCCGGCCGGAUCCGUGCCGUUUAUGUAGCUUCUGAGCUUGCAAGCCAAAUGCUGCCCAGCUGGUGCCGUCCUGGAAGCCCUGGGCGCCCUCCGGCCCGCUCUCUCCCUCUCCAGGGUGCAGGAGUUCUCAGCAUUCCCAUAACAGAGGAGUUCCAGGAACACCCGACUGGAUCCGGAUGACUUGAAUGUCAGGGCAGGAAGGUUCUGUCGUAACUGAGAAAACUUCAGCCUAAUUAAUAUUAUGAAAGCGCCUGUGAGAGCAGGGGGCUCCGAGGACAACCGUUAAGAGGGCCCGGGGCCAUGCACUGUCCAGGGUUUAUUGUCCUGUGCACAGCCUUGCUGUUUCGGAGGCCAGAAUUCACUCCUUUGAUGCCCACAUGAAGAAAGGUCACCCUCUUCCUUCAGCUGCAACGUGAGUUUAGCGUGCAGCAGGCACGUGUCUGACUGGUAAUCAGAGCUCCCAGUCACCUCCACGCUGGCCCUCCCCAUUGCAGAGGGGCAGAUGGUAUCGGUUUAUGCAUCUGUUUUUCGUGAACGGGGUUCCACGGAGCUGAUACUCUGUGGGCAGCGGAGGACCAGACUGCAGAGCCAGGUGUCGCCUUCCAGCGUCCUGUUUGCUCACUGGACCCCUCCAAGCACAGCAUGUGUGCUGUGGGAACCCACUGCACAGCGUCUCUGCUGUUCUCCCCGGUGGAUGCUCCCGGUGACCGGAAGCUAUUUGCCACCCCCGCCCCCCCAAAAGCAGUCAGCUUUCUUGGAGAUCUUGAUUGUCAGAACAUUCUUUGUUGACAUCAACCUGGCCACUUCACAGCUCCGACCUACGGGUACGUUCACACCGUGCAGGGAACCUUCAGGCAGCCCUUGGAGGGGAGGCGUUGUGAUGCAGUGUGUUAAGCCGGCACUUGUGACGCCAGCAUCCUGUAUCGGAGUGCUGGUUCCAUUCCCGGCUGUUCUACUGCGGAUGCAGCUCCCUGCUGAUGCGCCUGGGAAGGCAGCAGAUGAUGGGACACGUCCUCAGGCCCCUGCCACCCACGUAGGAGACCCAGAUGGAGUUCUUGGCUCUUGGCUUCAGCCUGGCCCAGGCAUUUGGGGGAGUUGCAGACAUUUAGGGGAUUGAACCAGUGGAUGGAAGAUUUCUCUCUUUCUCUGCCUUUCAAAUAAGUAAGUCUUUUUUUUUUUUUUUAGAAGUUCUUGGGAAAUGCUUAUUGUAAAAUAAUCAUGUUGGACUUAAAAAACAAAAUUCUAUGUUCCAUGAACUACUUGAAGCACACAGUAUAACUGCUGUUUUGCUGUGUGGUGGCUGCCAUCCUUAGCUCCUCGGAAGACGCCCGAAGAUGCAGAGUGUGGCCUUCUCACACCCCCCGCCCGAGUCUUUGUCAGCAAGAUCCCCCUGCCCCAGCCGGCUCACCAGCACUGUGACUUUUCAGACAUGAGCUUCUGGGGCACCAGUGGGUUUUUCUUCUUGGUUUUUACUUCUGUCUGCUGGCUUGUACCUUGUACUUCCUCUGGAUCCGAAGCGCAUGGCCCGAGAUGUGUGCGCGUUGCUGAGGUUGUCACCCUGGUGAGCUGACUUUCCCGGGGUGAACGCUGUUUCUGUUCAGUCCAGGAAAGGGACUGGCACAGGCCCAUCCACAGCGCCGUCUCCAGGAGUCAGGCGGUCAGGAGGGAGCGAGUCCAUCUUCCUUAGAAAGUCUACCUUUCUUGAGAUGAGCCAUCCUCCUCCCCAGGGAGAUCGGUGAAAGGUGUUUUACACCGGGCUCUAUGGAUUCGUGCAUCUGGUCACUCAACAGCAAUUUCAAU